rnacentral:rRNA from 1 species
GCUGGCGGCACGCCUAUACAUGCAAGUCGAACGAAGUAGCAAUACUUAGUGGCAGACGGGUGAGUAACAUGUAGGUAUCUUCCCUUUGGUGAGGAAUAACACGAGGAAACUUGUGCUAAUACCUCAUAAGUCUUUACGGAGAAAGCUUUACGCGCCAAUGGAUGAGCCUGCACUUGAUUAGUUUGUUGGUGGGGUAAUGGCCUACCAAGACAAUGAUCAAUAGCUGAUUUGAGAGGAUGAUCAGCCACAUUGGGACUGAGACACGGCCCAAACUCCUACGGGAGGCAGCAGUAGGGAAUCUUGCACAAUGGAGGAAACUCUGAUGCAGCGAUGCCGCGUGAGUGAAGAAGGCCUUUGGGUUGUAAAGCUCUUUCGUCGGGGAAGAAAAUGACUGUACCCGAAUAAGAAGGUCCGGCUAACUUCGUGCCAGCAGCCGCGGUAAUACGAAGGGACCUAGCGUAGUUCGGAAUUACUGGGCUUAAAGAGUUCGUAGGUGGUUAAAAAAGUUGGUGGUGAAAUCCCAGAGCUUAACUCUGGAACUGCCAUCAAAACUUUUUAGCUAGAGUAUGAUAGAGGAAAGCAGAAUUUCUAGUGUAGAGGUGAAAUUCGUAGAUAUUAGAAAGAAUACCGAUUGCGAAGGCAGCUUUCUGGAUCAUUACUGACACUGAGGAACGAAAGCAUGGGUAGCGAAGAGGAUUAGAUACCCUCGUAGUCCAUGCCGUAAACGAUGUGUGUUAGACGUUGGAAAUUUAUUUUCAGUGUCACAGUGAAAACUAUAAACACACCGCCUGGGGAGUACGACGCAAGUAAACUAAAUGGAUGCU